AUCACUCAUCUCAAAUGUGGAGGAUUUGUCCUUGGAACUCACAUUUGUCAUUGCAUAGCUGAUGCCUUCGGCACAUUUCAAUUCUUGAAAGCUAUAUUUGAUAUAGCACGCAGUGAGGCAAAACCAACCAUGUUACCAGUUUGGAAAAGGGAGCUCUUUGUUGGAACAAGUCUACCACCCCACAUCAAAGAAGAACAAGAGAAGUUAUUUGAUGAACUAGAGAGCGCCACUUGUGAUGAUAUUAUGGUGACAAUGCCCACUGAAAACAUAGUUUCUGAAUACUUUAUUCUCUCUCAAAUAGAUAUGGUUGCACUAAGGCAUCAUGUCCCAUUAAAUCUCACAAAAACAGUCACGAGCUUUGAGCUACUAACUGCGGUUACAUGGCGGUCCCGUACUGUGGCACUUGGCUACAAGCCUUGCCAUAUUGUACGCUUGAUGAUUAAUGUCAAUGCGCAUGGGAGAUGGAAGAAGCUUCCUUCAAGAUACUAUGGCAAUGGGCUUAUGUGCUCUGUCAUUCAGACAACAGACCGCAAGGCUAAAGAUGAGAUAAUGAUAGAAGAAAAUAUGCAAUUGAGAGUAAAUUUGUUGCCAUUAUGGCGUGAGAAACCAUACAUAAAAGUACAAAGAAUAUUUAAAACAUGUGACAUAAAAUGGAUUGGGCAAGACACUUUGGAUAUUGGAUGGGCAAAGAGGAUUGGAGGUGGAAUACCGACUGUUAGUCUGCCAAAUAUAACAAGCUACCAAUUCAUGUGCAAGAAUGAAAAAGGUGAGAAGUCAACAAUCAUCUCCAUGUUGUUGCCACAACCUGCAAUGGAUAGAUUCAAACAGGAGAUGGCUGCUUCGUUAAAUGAAUACUCCAUCCGUCCCAAAAUAUAAAGACUUUUGC
rnacentral:lncRNA from 1 species